UAGCUAGUUGGUGAGGUAAAGGCUUACCAAGGCGACGAUCUGUAGCGGGUCUGAGAGGAUGAUCCGCCACACUGGAACUGAGACACGGUCCAGACUCCUACGGGAGGCAGCAGUGGGGAAUUUUGGACAAUGGGGGCAACCCUGAUCCAGCCAUGCCGCGUGAGUGAAGAAGGCCUUCGGGCUGUAAAGCUCUUUCGGCCGGGAAGAAAUCGCAUGGGCCAAUACCCUGUGUGGAUGACGGUACCGGAAUAAGAAGCACCGGCUAACUACGUGCCAGCAGCCGCGGUAAUACGUAGGGUGCGAGCGUUAAUCGGAAUUACUGGGCGUAAAGCGUGCGCAGGCGGUUUUGUAAGACAGGCGUGAAAUCCCCGGGCUUAACCUGGGAACUGCGUUUGUGACUGCAAGGCUAGAGUACGGCAGAGGGGGGUGGAAUUCCACGUGUAGCAGUGAAAUGCGUAGAGAUGUGGAGGAACACCAAUGGCGAAGGCAGCCCCCUGGGUCGAUACUGACGCUCAUGCACGAAAGCGUGGGUAGCAAACAGGAUUAGAUACCCUGGUAGUCCACGCCCUAAACUAUGUCAACUAGGUGUUGGGUGGGUAAAACCAUUUAGUACCGUAGCUAACGCGUGAAGUUGACCGCCUGGGGAGUACGGCCGCAAGGUUAAAACUCAAAGGAAUUGACGGGGACCCGCACAAGCGGUGGAUGAUGUGGAUUAAUUCGAUGCAACGCGAAAAACCUUACCUACCCUUGACAUGCCAGGAACUUGCCAGAGAUGGCUUGGUGCCCGAAAGGGAGCCUGGACACAGGUGCUGCAUGGCUGUCGUCAGCUCGUGUCGUGAGAUGUUGGGUUAAGUCCCGCAACGAGCGCAACCCUUGUCGUUAAUUGCCAUCAUUUAGUUGGGCACUUUAACGAGACUGCCGGUGACAAACCGGAGGAAGGUGGGGAUGACGUCAAGUCCUCAUGGCCCUUAUGGGUAGGGCUUCACACGUCAUACAAUGGUCGGUACAAAGGGUUGCCAAGCCGCGAGGCGGAGCCAAUCCCAGAAAGCCGAUCGUAGUCCGGAUUGCAGGCUGCAACUCGCCUGCAUGAAGUCGGAAUCGCUAGUAAUCGUGGAUCAGCAUGUCACGGUGAAUACGUUCCCGGGUCUUGUACACACCGCCCGUCACACCAUGGGAGCGGGUUCCGCCAGAAGUAGGUAGCCUAACCGCAAGGGGGGCGCUUACCACGGCGGGGUUCGUGACUGGGGUGAAGUCGUAACAAGGUAGCCGUAGGGGAACCUGCGGCUG
rnacentral:rRNA from 1 species